rnacentral:rRNA from 1 species
AAAAGAAACUAACCAGGAUUCCCCCAGUAACGGCGAGUGAAGCGGGAAGAGCUCACGUUGUAAAUCUGCCUUCGGGCCGAAUUGUAGUCUGGAGAGGCGCGACCAGCCGUGGCCGGGGGCGAAGUCUCUUGGAAAAGAGCAUCAAGGAGGGUGACAAUCCCGUUCUUGCCCCCACGCCGCGCGCGUACGGUCCGUUUUCUAAGAGUCGAGUUGCUUGGGAUUGCAGCUCAAAGCGGGUGGUAAAUUCCAUCUAAAGCUAAACACGGGUGGGAGACCGAUAGCGAACAAGUACCGUGAGGGAAAGAUGCAAAGAACUUUGAAAAGAGAGUUAAAGAGUGCCUGAAAUUGCUGAAAGGGAAGCGAAGGAAACCAGUGUCUGGCGUCGAAGCUUUCCCUCCGCCCUUCGGGGCUCUGGGUCGCGUCUUCGCCGUGGCCAGGGUCGGGUAUGGUUGCGGGAGCCUGCGUCGUGGAAGGUAGCCUCUCCUCGGAGGGUGAAUACCGCGGCGUGUCGUCGCGACUGUGGCCGGCUCUGACGAAAUGGUUUUCUUUACCCCGUCUUGAAACACGGACCAAGGAGUCUAACAUGCCCGCGAGUACAGGGGUGUUCAAACCCCCGUGCGCAGUGAAAGUGAAUGCAGGUGGGAAGCCGCAAGGUGGCACCAUCGACCGACCAUGUCCCUCCGGGGGCGAGGUUUGAGUGUGAGCGUGCAUGUUGGGACCCGAAAGAUGGUGAACUAUGCCUGAAUAGGGCGAAGCCAGGGGAAACUCUGGUGGAGGCUCGUAGCGAUUCUGACGUGCAAAUCGAUCGUGAGAUUUGGGUAUAGGGGCGAAAGACUAAUCGAACCAUCUAGUAGCUGGUUCCCUCCGAAAUUUCCCUCAGGAUAGCUGCAACCUGCGUUCAGUUUUAUCAGGUAAAGCGAAUGAUUAGAGGCUGCGGGGAAGCAACUUCCUCGCCCUAUUCUCAAACUUUAAAUGGGUAAGAGACCGGGGUCGCUUAAUUGGACCCUGUGUUGGAAUGAAGGUUGCUAGUGGGCCAGUCCGGGUAAGCUGGACUGGCGAUGCGGGAUGAACCGAACGCCUAGUUAAAGCGCCAAACUGCCCGCUCACCUAGAUCCCACAAAAGGUGUUGGUUCAUUUAGACAGCAGGACGGUGGCCAUGGAAGUCGGAAUCCGCUAAGGAGUGUGUAACAACUCACCUGCCGAAUGAACUAGCCCUGAAAAUGGAUGGCGCUGAAGCGAGCGGCUUAUACUAGGCCAUUGGGGAGAGUGCGUUUCCCCAAUGAGUAGGAGGGCGCGGGGCUCGUAGCGCAUCUUCGGCCG